CCUUACACAUGCAAGUCGAACGGCAGCACGGGAGCAAUCCUGGUGGCGAGUGGCAAACGGUGAGUAAUGUAUCGGAACGUACCUUUCAGUGGGGGAUAACGUAGCGAAAGUUACGCUAAUACCGCAUAUUCUGUGAGCAGGAAAGCAGGGGAUCGCAAGACCUUGCGCUGAUUGAGCGGCCGAUAUCAGAUUAGCUAGUUGGUGAGGUAAAGGCUCACCAAGGCGACGAUCUGUAGCGGGUCUGAGAGGAUGAUCCGCCACACUGGAACUGAGACACGGUCCAGACUCCUACGGGAGGCAGCAGUGGGGAAUUUUGGACAAUGGGCGCAAGCCUGAUCCAGCCAUGCCGCGUGAGUGAAGAAGGCCUUCGGGUUGUAAAGCUCUUUCAGCCGGGAAGAAAACGCAUGGGUUAAUACCCUGUGUGGAUGACGGUACCGGAAUAAGAAGCACCGGCUAACUACGUG
rnacentral:rRNA from 1 species